UACGUAGGGUGCGAGCGUUUAAUCGGAAUUACUGGGCGUAAAGUGUGCGCAGGCGGCGCUGCAAGUCGAGUGUGAAAAUCCCCGAGCUUAACUUGGGAAUUGCGCUCGAAACUACGGCGCUGGGGGUAUGGCAGAGGAAGGUGGAAUUCCACGUGUAGCGGUGAAAAUGCGUAGAGAUGUGGAGGAACACCGAUGGCGAAGGCAGCCUUCUGGGCCAAUACUGACGCUCAUGCACGAAAGCGUGGGGAGCAAACAGG
rnacentral:rRNA from 1 species